AUUUUAGUAGCUUAAUUUAAAGCCUAAUAUUGAAGAUAUUAUUAUAGUUUUUACUCUAAAAUA
rnacentral:tRNA from 4 species